ACCAUCACCUUCAGGCCUCACAAAGUGUGGUUGGGAUGCUGUCUCACGGGGCUUUGAGACUUGGCUAAGUCCUGAAAGGGCUUAGAGGGACAUCCUUAGUUUGCUCUUCCAGUAACAACAUAGAAAGACACCUAAGUAUGAGUCCUUGGUCUUCUUUGCCAGAUCUGGAUCCACUUUUUAAGGGUGUGCUAAGGGCAGCGCUAAGACCACUUGGAGCUAAGCCCAGUGGACCUCUGUAGGGCUUUGAUGUCACACUGGUUUGACCCAGCAAAGCUCCACAAUGGAUUUGUCACUAUAUCACUCAGAUCUUGAAGAAGUCACUUUAUCUCAUCUACAAAGGGACCCCAGAAACCAGUGCUGAGGGAGUGUGCUCACCUGUCCACCUCCUACCUGGGUUUCAAGGGCAAACACAGCCUUGAGGCAGUGCUGCUUAAUCCCACCUGAACCUUAGUGUCACCUGGGAGCCUUUUAGAGGUGCUGAUGCUGGACACCGCCCCUCUAAGAUCCUGAAUUAGUGGGUGGGCUGAGGCAGGGCUGUCUGGGAGCGGGGCGUUCAGCCCUCCAAAGCCAGGGUUGUGAACCACUGCUUUAGGCUGCAAGCCUGAAAUUUAUUUGACGUCUUGUGUUUUAUCUUAAUCAAUAAAUUCGCAUUUUCCUAACAAAAUCCGUAUUUAAUAUUAAACUGUCUUCAGUUAACUCACCACACACAUUUUCAGGAGUAAAAUCAAUGCACAAGAUGUUUAUUACAUAUAUCACAUAGCUCCUGGAGAUUUUGCUUUAGUUUGAGGCAGGUAAGCUCUUUAAGAACAAGGCAUGCUCUCACAGUCUACAAAGCUGUGAAGACGUGACAGGAGAGGAAAUUGUCCAGCUUCGCAAUGGACCAUUUUCCUUGGGCUUUCCUUGGGCUUUUGGAUACUGCUUUUUCAUUUGAAUCAGUGCCUGGGUGUGGGCUCAGGUUUUUCAGGGGCUUCAUAGGCUACAUAGUUGCAGUUGCCUCUGGAGACAUAAAUGAAAGAGGAACAAAAAGUUCAGUGCUUAAAUAACAGUCUGUUUUGACCAGGAAAAAAGACACAGAUGGAGGAAAACCCUGAAGGUACAGCAGGGAUCCCGAGGCCCAACGCAGGGCGAGAAUCUUCUCCGCCUCCCCAGUCCUCAGACCUGCGGGCUUCUGUUGCUCCCACUUAGAUGCCUCUCUUGUCUUUUUAUUUCAUUCCAGAAAGAAUUCCAUAUAUUAUAUUUGACUCUUCUGCCAAUCCUAUGAAGUUGGACAGCUACCCGAUUUUACAGAUGAGGGGAAGGGGGCUGAGCAGGGCUGCCAGAACUGGGAACCAGGAGGCCCUGAUGCCAGAAUAACAACUGGGGAGGCUGAGCCCACACGGGCCCAUUUGGUUUGAACAACCUCCAGGUUCCAACCCGGAACCCACCUCUUCACAGAAUGCUUUCAGCAUUUAAAGCUCUCUAAAUUGGCCAGGUGCGGUGGCUCACGCCUAUAAUCCCAGCACUUUGGGAGGCCGAGGUGGAUGGAUCACUUCAGGCCAGGAGUUCAAGACCAGCCUGGCCAACAUGGUGAAACCCAUCACUACUAAAAAAUACAAAAAAAAAAAAA
ensembl:lncRNA